GCCAGGUGCAGCGGCAUACACCUAUAGUCCCAGCUACAUGGGUGACUGAGGCAGGAGGAUUGCUUGAGCCCAGGAGUUCUGGACUAUAGUGCACUAUACUGAUCAGGUAUUCACACUAAAUUUGACAUCAAUAUAAUGACCUCUCAGGAGGUGGGGACCACCAAGUUGCCUAAGGAAGAGCGAACUGACCCAGGUGAAAACAGCAGAUCAAAGCUCCUGUACUGACCUGUGUAUAGGCACUGCACUCUAGUCUGGGCAACAGAGAAACCUUGUCUAU
rnacentral:SRP_RNA from 1 species